UAGUCACUUGCAUCCGUACGCAGGAUGA
rnacentral:sRNA from 1 species